rnacentral:rRNA from 1 species
UACGUAGGGACCGAGCGUUGUCCGGAUUCAUUGGGCGUAAAGAGCUCGUAGGCGGCUGUUCAAGUCGAAACGUGAAAACUCGGAGCUCAACUCCGAGCCUGCGUUCGAGACUGGAUGGCUAGAGUCUGGUAGGGGGGAUCUGGAAUUCCUGGUGUAGCGGUGAAAUGCGCAGAUAGUCAGGAAGAACACCAAUGGCGAAAGCAGCUCUCUGGGACGGUACUGGACGCUGAGACGCGAAAGCGUGGGGAGCGAACAGG